GGCGGUUCUCGGAUGACGCACCCUGGAAUCGAGCUCCCUCCUCUCUGGUUCCGGUGCGUCACCAGAGAACCGCA
rfam:Myotis lucifugus cont2.38550, whole genome shotgun sequence.